rnacentral:rRNA from 1 species
GUGAGGAAUAUUGCGCAAUGGAGGCAACUCUGACGCAGCCAUGCCGCGUGCAGGAAGAAGGCGCUACGCGUUGUAAACUGCUUUUAACCGGGAAGAAACCCCAGGACGUGUCCUGGGUUGACGGUACCGGAGGAAUAAGCACCGGCUAACUUCGUGCCAGCAGCCGCGGUAAUACGAAGGGUGCAAGCGUUAUCCGGAUUCAUUGGGUUUAAAGGGUGCGUAGGCGGAGCGUUAAGUCAGUGGUGAAAUCCUGCAGCUUAACUGUAGACUUGCCAUUGAUACUGGCGCUCUUGAGUGCGCUUGAAGUGGGCGGAAUGUGCCAUGUAGCGGUGAAAUGCUUAGAUAUGGCACAGAACACCAAUUGCGAAGGCAGCUCACUAAGGCGAUACUGACGCUGAGGCACGAAAGCGUGGGGAUCGAACAGGAUUAGAAACCCGUGUAGUCC